rnacentral:rRNA from 1 species
UACAGAGGUCUCAAGCGUUGUUCGGAUUCAUUGGGCGUAAAGGGCGCGUAGGCGGCUUGGUCAGUCCCGUGUGAAAUCCCUCGGCUCAACUGAGGAACUGCACGGGAAACUGCCUGGCUUGAGUUCGGGAGAGGGAAGCGGAAUUCCUGGUGUAGCGGUGAAAUGCGCAGAUAUCAGGAGGAACACCAGCGGCGAAGGCGGCGCUCUGGGCCGGUACUGACACUGAGGAGCGAAAGCGUGGGGAUCAAACAGG